UGCCGAAUCCUUGGUGAGCCGAAGCUCAUAUUGAAGCGCAGGCUAUGGAGAAGACGUGAAUUUACAACACUGGUUCACCCACUGAGGGACCUGGACGAGCAAGUGCACUUUCGAUACUUUCAAAUGUCAGCAACUGCCGCAAAUUACGUUCUGAGCGGACCAAUCACAGCACUUGCGGUCCACGUCAACUCGACUCGCAGUUAGAUUUUUUCGGAGGUGCACGUCAGGCUACGGCGGAGGGGUCUACGUAGUUACGUAGUUACUUAAUAUGUAUAUUUUCCUUUUUUCUUUCAGAUUGUUCUUUAAUGUACUGUGGUGCUCUGGUGAUACCAUCAUGUUGAUCAAAACAUUCCUGUCAUCCAGCACCAACCAAGAUCUUUGCCACUGUGAUAAGAUGUGAGCUUUACAUGUUUUAGGUUUACUUUUGAUGCCAAUAUUUCAUGUUUACUUGGAAUAAAUAUGUAUUACAGUAUGGAUACAAUUGUCUGUGUGUUUUUCCCCCUGCAUAGAUAUGCAACACUGGUAGGAGUUGGUUAAAAAUCAACACUCUUUGGAGUGAUUUCAUAAUCAACGUAGUGUAAAGUAGGUUUAACACUGGAAAGGUUAUUUCUUUUAUAACUCUUUAGUGUUACAUGUGAAUAACACUAUGGGUGUUACUUCUUACAUAGUGUAAAACUUGAUUGACACUUCUUAGAGUUAAUAUUAUUACACUACACUGCACCUAGUGUAAAAUUUUAACUCUUACCAGAGUAAAAUUGACUCUGGAAAUUUAACUCUGUGUUCAGUGUACAUUUAACACUCUGUAGAUAGGGACCAUAUGUUCACUGAGGUAGUGUUAAAAUUGACUCUUUAAGUGUUGUAUUAACACUGGCGAUUUUACUGUGUAAUAUAUAAAGAGAGAAAAUUCAAAGAAGUUCUGAUUCAAUCUACAUUUAUACUGCCCUGGUUCCUUUAAAGAAGAUCUAUGCUGCUCGCUCGCUAAAAAGUAAUCACAAGAUUCUGGAUUCAAUUCUACAGUUGAAC
ensembl:lncRNA